rnacentral:pre_miRNA from 1 species
UGUGUACUCCCUCCAUUCCAAAAUACUUGACUUACAUUUGUCCAAAAAUGGAUGUGCCUAUAUACUAAAACAUGUCUAGAUACAUAUAUAUUUUGACAAAUAGAAGGCAUGUAUUGUGCAACGGAGGGAGUAGAAU